rnacentral:rRNA from 1 species
UACGUAGGCAGCGAGCGUUGUUCGGAAUUACUGGGCGUAAAGGGUGCGUAGGCGGCGCGGUAAGUCGGGUGUGAAAUCUCGGAGCUUAACUCCGAAACUGCAUUCGAUACUGCCGUGCUUGAGGACUGGAGAGGAGACUGGAAUUUACGGUGUAGCGGUGAAAUGCGUAGAUAUCGUAAGGAAGACCAGUGGCGAAGGCGGGUCUCUGGACAGUUCCUGACGCUGAGGCACGAAGGCCAGGGGAGCAAACGGG